CAUAAUGAACUCGUAUAAUGCCGGGAAUAAGGCCUGGAAGUAUCUACCCGAGAACCGUAAAUUCUUGGACUACGAGCGAAUAC
rnacentral:ncRNA from 1 species